rnacentral:rRNA from 1 species
CGUCUAUAUACGUAUAGCAUAUCAAUAAGCGGAGGAAAAGAAACUAACUAGGAUUCCCUUAGUAACGGCGAGUGAAGCGGGAAGAGCUCAAAUUUGAAAUCUUCAAGGUUCUACCUUGACGAAUUGUAGUUUAAAGAAGUGUUUUCUGUUGGAGUUUGGCUAAAAGUUCUUUGGAAUAGGACAUCAUAGAGGGUGAGAAUCCCGUAUUUGUACCAUAUCUUCUAGCUUUAGUGAUACACUUUCAAAGAGUCGGAUUGUUUGAGAAUGCAGUCCAAAAUGGGUGGUAAAUUUCAUCUAAAGCUAAAUAUUGGCGAGAGACCGAUAGCGAACAAGUACCGUGAGGGAAAGAUGAAAAGAACUUUGAAAAGAGAGUUAAACAGUACGUGAAAUUGUCAAAAGGGAAGCGUUUGACACCAGUGUUGUUUUUCCGAAAAUCAAUUACGAAUGGUUUUGUUUCUGAUGUGAUGACCUUCAUCAGCUUCCUUCAUCUCUUUACGAAGUCUUUUGUAAUGCACUUUUCGGUUAACAAGUCAACAUCAAUUUCUUUUGUUGUAAAAGAGUAUUCGGAAGGUGGCUUUCUUUUCGGAGAAAGUGUUUAUAGCCCUAUACUUCUACAAUCGGAGAGAUUGAGGUCUGCAGCGUAGAUCCUUCGGGGUUAGAUACACUUGUGCUAAGUUAUAGCUUUUCAUAGACAACUUGUUGACUAUGUUUAGUCUUGUAGCUUACUCGCUUGUGCUAUUUUACCUACGCUUAGGAUGUUGAAGUCAUCGUAUCGCGC